rnacentral:tRNA from 1 species
ACCAAAAUAGCUCAGUUGGCAGAGCGUUAGACUUUGGAGCGAGGAUCCGCGGUUCGAACCGGGUUUCGGCA